GAUGAACGCUGGCGGCAGGCCUAAUACAUGCAAGACGAACGGUAAGUUGAGUAGCAAUACUUAGCCAAGAGUGUCGUACGGGUGCGUAACACGUAUGCAACCUACCCUAUACAGGAGGAUAGCCUAGGGAACCUGGAUUAACCCUUCAUAGUAUUAUUGGAUGGCAUCAUUUGAUAAUUAAACUAGAGGUGGUAUAGGAUGGGCAUGCGUCUGAUUAGCUAGUUGGUGAGGUAAAGGACUCACCAAGGCGACGAUCAGUAGCUGGUCUGAGAGGACGACCAGCCACACUGGAACUGAGACACGGUCCAGACUCCUACGGGAGGCAGCAGUGGGGGAAUUUUGGACAAAUGGGCGCAAGCCUGAUCCAGCCAUUCCGCGUGAGUGAAGAAGGCCUCGG
rnacentral:rRNA from 1 species